rnacentral:rRNA from 1 species
ACGGAAGGCAGCAGUGGGGAAUAUUGCGCAAUGGGCGAAAGCCUGACGCAGCGACGCCGCGUGAGGGAUGAAGGUCUUCGGAUCGUAAACCUCUGUCAGAAGGGAAGAAUGUUAUGUCUGCCAAUCAGGACAUAAGUGACGGUACCUUCAAAGGAAGCACCGGCUAACUCCGUGCCAGCAGCCGCGGUAAUACGGAGGGUGCAAGCGUUAAUCGGAAUUACUGGGCGUAAAGCGCAUGUAGGCUGUAAGGCAAGUUGGUGGUGAAAUCCAACGGCUCAACCGUUGAACUGCCAUCAAAACUACCUCACUCGAGUGCGGAAGAGGACAGCGGAAUUCCGGGUGUAGGAGUGAAAUCCGUAGAUAUCCGGAAGAACAUCAGUGGCGAAGGCGGCUGUCUGGUCCGUAACUGACGCUGAGAUGCGAAAGCGUGGGUAGCAAACAGGAUUAGAUACCCUGGUA